rnacentral:lncRNA from 1 species
CAUUUUCACCCCAUAUUUGGGCCCUGGGACCCCAAAUUUUUCCCCUUUCCACCCCAAAAGGAGGCUCAGGACCCCAAAUUUUGCCCUUUUCACCCCAAAACGAGGGUCAGGACCCCAAUUUUUGCCCUUUCCACCCCAAGACCCAACCCAGAACCCCCAAAUUUCACCAUUUUCACCCCAAAACCCAACUUGGAACCCCAACUUUUCCCCUUUCCACCCCAAAACCCAACCCAGAACACUCAAAUUUCAGCAUUUUCACCCCAUAACCCCCAAAUUCUGCCAUUUUCACCCCAAAACCCCACCCAAACCCCCAAAUUUCACCAUUUUCACCCCAGAACCCCCAAAUUUUCCCCUUUUCACCCCAAAAGGAGGAGCAGCAGCGCCCCCAGUGCCACCCCCAGUGCCACCCCCCGUGUCCCCCCCGCUGCCACCCCCGAUGUCCCCCCGGGGUCCCCAUCGGGGUCCCCAUUGGGGUCGGGGCCGAGCGGCCGCGGCCACCCCGGGGGGAGCGCCCCGAAAUCGCAGGGGUCCCCCCCGGGGGGCUCGGGGACAUCGGGGACAUUGGGGGGGUGGCCCGGGGACAGCUCGGGGACAGCGGGGGGGGGGGCCCGGGGACAGCUCGGGGACAAGGGACAGGAUCCAGGAGAGGUGCGGGGACACCCCCGUGUACACCCCCGGGCGGCCGGGGACCCCGCAGGCGUCACCCCAGCUGACCACGCCCGCCAGGUGCCAGGUGCCACCCAGCUGGCAGGUGAGGGGACCCCCGGAGUCACCCUGGGGACAGAGGGGACAUUAGGGACAGAGGGGACAUUGGGGGCAUUGGGGACAUUGAGGGGAUUUGGGGGAUUGGGGGACAUUGGGGACAUUGUGGGGACAUUGGGGGUUUGGGGACAUUGGGGACACCGGGGACACGGGGACACCACAGGCGUCACCCCAGCUGACCACGCCCGCCAGGUGCCAGGUGCCACCCAGCUGGCAGGUGAGGGGACCCCCGGAGUCACCCUGGGGACAGAGGGGACAUUAGGGACAGAGGGGACAUUGAGAGGAUUUGGGGACAUUUGGGGGUUUGGGGACAUUGGGGACAUUGAGGGGACAUUGGGGGCAUUGGGGACAUUGAGGAUUUGGGGACAUGGGGGGAUUGGGGACAUUGGAGACAUUGAGGGGAUUUGGGGGAUUGGGGACAUUUGGGACAUUGGGGGGAUUGGGGGGAUUUGGGGACAUUAG